CAGCAGUCGCCGCGGGAAUACAGAGGGUGCGAGCGUUAAUCGGAUUUACUGGGCGUAAAGCGUGCGUAGGCGGCUUCUUAAGUCGGAUGUGAAAUCCCUGAGCUUAACUUAGGAAUUGCAUUCGAUACUGGGAAGCUAGAGUAUGGGAGAGGAUGGUAGAAUUCCAGGUGUAGCGAUGAAAUGCGUAGAGAUCUGGAGGAAUACCGAUGGCGAAGGCAGCCAUCUGGCCUAAUACUGACGCUGAGGUACGAAAGCAUGGGGAGCAAACAGGAUUAGAUACCCCCGUAGUCCCUGUCUCUUAUAC
rnacentral:rRNA from 1 species